rnacentral:rRNA from 1 species
UCUUUCUUUGCUGGCGACCGGCGCACGGGUGAGUAACACGUAUCCAACCUGCCCUUUACUCGGGGAUAGCCUUUCGAAAGAAAGAUUAAUACCCGAUGGCAUAAUGAUUCCGCAUGGUUUCAUUAUUAAAGGAUUCCGGUAAAGGAUGGGGAUGCGUUCCAUUAGGUUGUUGGUGAGGUAACGGCCCACCAAGCCUUCGAUGGAUAGGGGUUCUGAGAGGAAGGUCCCCCACAUUGGAACUGAGACACGGACCAA